rnacentral:rRNA from 1 species
ACGGGAGGCAGCAGUAAGGAAUAUUGGUCAAUGGACGCAAGUCUGAACCAGCCAUGCCGCGUGAAGGAUGAAGGUCCUCUGGAUUGUAAACUUCUUUUAUAUGGGACGAAACCCGGGUAUUCCUACCCGAUUGACGGUACCAUAGGAAUAAGCACCGGCUAACUCCGUGCCAGCAGCCGCGGUAAUACGGAGGGUGCAAGCGUUAUCCGGAUUCACUGGGUUUAAAGGGUGCGUAGGAGGGCAGGUAAGUCAGUGGUGAAAUCUUCGAGCUUAACUCGGAAACUGCCGUUGAUACUAUCUGUCUUGAAUACCGUGGAGGUGAGCGGAAUAUGUCAUGUAGCGGUGAAAUGCUUAGAUAUGACAUAGAACACCGAUUGCGAAGGCAGCUCACUACACGAAUAUUGACUCUGAGGCACGAAAGCGUGGGGAUCAAACAGGAUUAGAUACCCUGGUA